UUUUACUUGGAAAAGACAAUGUUCCAUACUAAAGGAUUCGAGUCCAUAACCACGAGUUCCAGUGCACUAGAUCUUGUAGCACUUAGCAACGAAGCCCUAUCCAUUAGUAUUCCACAUAAGAAAUCCAUUCUAGAAAAAAAUACAAUUAGAUUAGCUCUUCAUAGACAAACUUGGGGUUUGCGAGCCAAGGUAAGAUCGGCUCGGGAUCAUGGGACCCUUUUCUAUCAGAUAGGAGGGGCUCUUGUACAAAAUAGAUUACUAAGUAAUAACCCCAUAGAAUCUAUCUAUAUAAAGAUAUUGCAAAUUCUUCCUCAGCUAGUUAAAAAAAUGAAAUUGGCUGAUAUCAUGACGAUAUUAGGUAGUAUAGAUAUCAUUAUGUGUCUGGCAAUCUCGUCAUAUAUUUGA
rnacentral:rRNA from 1 species